rnacentral:rRNA from 1 species
UACGUAGGGGGCGAGCGUUGUCCGGAAUUACUGGGCGUAAAGGGUGCGUAGGCGGCCUCAGAAGUCAGGUGUGAAAUACCGUGGCUUAACCACGGGGGUGCAUUUGAAACUUUGAGGCUUGAGUGCAGGAGAGGAAAGUGGAAUUCCUAGUGUAGCGGUGAAAUGCGUAGAGAUUAGGAGGAACACCAGUGGCGAAGGCGACUUUCUGGACUGUAACUGACGCUGAUGCACGAAAGCGUGGGUAGCGAACAGG